UUCCUACGGGAGGCAGCAGUGGGGAAUAUUGCACAAUGGGGGAAACCCUGAUGCAGCAACGCCGCGUGAGUGAUGACGGCCUUCGGGUUGUAAAGCUCUGUCUUCAGGGACGAUAAUGACGGUACCUGUGGAGGAAGCCACGGCUAACUACGUGCCAGCAGCCGCGGUAAUACGUAGGUGGCGAGCGUUGUCCGGAUUUAUUGGGUUUAAAGGGUGCGUAGGCGGAUCGUUAAGUCAGUGGUCAAAUUGGGGGGCUCAA
rnacentral:rRNA from 1 species